rnacentral:rRNA from 1 species
AUUGAACGCUGGCGGCAUGCCUUACACAUGCAAGUCGAACGGCAGCAUGAUCUAGCUUGCUAGAUUGAUGGCGAGUGGCGAACGGGUGAGUAAUACAUCGGAACGUGCCCUGUAGUGGGGGAUAACUAGUCGAAAGAUUAGCUAAUACCGCAUACGACCUGAGGGUGAAAGUGGGGGGCCGCAAGGCCUCAUGCUAUAGGGGCGGCCGAUGUUGGAUUAGUUUGUUGGUGGGGUAAAGGUUCACCAAGGCGGCGAUCAGUAGCUGGUCUGAGGGGACGAUCAGCCACACUGGGACUGAGACACGGACCAGACUCCUACGGGAGGCAGCAGUCGGGAAUUUUGGACAACGGGCGAAAGCCUGAUCCAGCAAUGCCGCGUGUGUGAAGAAGGCCUUCGGGUUGUAAAGCACUUUUGUCCGGAAAGAAAUGGCUCUGGUUAAUACCUGGGGUCGAUGACGGUACCGGAAGAAUAAGGACCGGCUAACUACGUG